rnacentral:misc_RNA from 1 species
GAAAUGCGAUAAGUAAUGUGAAUUGCAGAAUUCAGUGAAUCAUCGAAUCUUUGAACGCACAUUGCGCCCGCCAGUAUUUUGGCGGGCAUGCCUGUCCGAGCGUCAUUUCAACCAUCAAGCCCCCGGGCCUGUGUUGGGGACCUGCGGCUGCCCGCAGGCCCUGAAAACCAGUGGCGGGCUCGCUGUCACACCGAGCGUAGUAGCAAUCACCUCGCUCAGGGCGUGCUGCGGGUUCCGGCCGUUAAACAGCCUUACAAAACCCAAGGUUGACCUCGGAUCAGGUAGGAAGACCCGCUGAACUUAAGC